UACGAAGGGGGCUAGCGUUGUUCGGAUUCACUGGGCGUAAAGGGUGCGUAGGCGGAUGCUUAAGUCAGGGGUGAAAUCCCGAGGCUCAACCUCGGAACUGCCUUUGAUACUGGGUGUCUUGAGUCCGGAAGAGGUGAGUGGAACUGCGAGUGUAGAGGUGAAAUUCGUAGAUAUUCGCAAGAACACCAGUGGCGAAGGCGGCUCACUGGUCCGGAACUGACGCUGAGGCACGAAAGCGUGGGGAGCAAACAGG
rnacentral:rRNA from 1 species